UGUUAAAAUUUCAUCCAUUUCUACUUUUAAAAAUUAAUGCGGCUGACGGAAUAACCAAAUAGUUACACGUGGUGUACCACAUGUACCUCAUUUUAACGUAUAGGGAUUGAUUUUUAAUAGUAGAAAUGGAUGAAAUUUUUAACA
rfam:Gossypium arboreum cultivar AKA8401 contig_340_21, whole genome shotgun sequence.